GGCAGUGUAGGGUAGUGGUUUGAGAGUUGGACUAGGAUUCAAGAAACCAGGGUUCAAAUCCCUGCUCACCA